rnacentral:lncRNA from 1 species
UCAAUAGUUAAUUAAGUCCAAUAUGCGGAUUUUCGGGUGUUUUUAGGUAGGAAAAACAGGGAAUCCCCCCAGAAGGACAUUUCAAACCAAAAAAAAGUUAUGCUUUUUAUGACUGUUGUUAUUCAUACUACUUUUUCCCUCAAAAAUGAAAUUGGUUUAGUGUGUCCUUAUUACAUAAAAUACAACUUUUUAAAGAAAAAAUUGUAACAUCGAUAAAUUGUACCGAUAUAGCUUCUUAAUAAGAGAUAUAUGUAUAAGCAUCGCCGUAGCUCCAUCAGUAAAGCACAGAACUACUAAUAAAUGAUGGUUUUGAAGAAAGGGUUCGAAUCUCGCUCAGAAUAUGUGCAUUUUUUG